rnacentral:rRNA from 1 species
AUUGAACGCUGGCGGCAGGCCUAACACAUGCAAGUCGAACGAGUGGCGGACGGGUGAGUAAUGUCUGGGAAACUGCCUGAUGGAGGGGGAUAACUACUGGAAACGGUAGCUAAUACCGCAUACCAUCAGAUGUGCCCACAUGGGAUUUGCUUGUUGGUGGGGUACCGGCUCACCACGGCGACGAUCCCUAGCUGGUCUGAGAGGAUGACCGGCAACACUGGAACUGAGACACGGACCAGACUCCUACGGGAGGCAGCAGUGGGGAAUAUUGCGCAAGGGGCGCAAGCCUGAUGCAGCCAUGCGGCGUGUAUGAAGAAGGCCUUCGGGUUGUAAAGUACUUUCAGCGGGGAGGCGUUACCCGCAGAAGAAGCACCGGCUAACUCCGUGCCAGCAGCCGCGGUAAUAC